GACGAACGCUGGCGGCGUGCUUAACACAUGCAAGUCGAACGGAAAGGCCCUGCUUUUGUGGGGUGCUCGAGUGGCGAACGGGUGAGUAACACGUGAGUAACCUGCCCUUGACUUUGGGAUAACUUCAGGAAACUGGGGCUAAUACCGGAUAGGAGCUCCUGCUGCAUGGUGGGGGUUGGAAAGUUUCGGCGGUUGGGGAUGGACGCGCGGCUUAUCAGCUUGUUGGUGGGGUAGUGGCUUACCAAGGCUUUGACGGGUAGCCGGCCUGGGAGGGUGACCGGCGACAAUGGGACUGAGAUACGGCCCAGACUCCUACGGGAGGCAGCAGGGGGGAAUAUUGCACAAUGGGCGGAAGCCUGAUGCAGCAACGCCGCGUGCGGGAUGACGGCUUUCGGGUGGUAAACCGCUUUCGCCUGUGACGAAGCGUGAGUGACGGUAAUGGGUAAAGAAGCACCGGCUAACUACGUG
rnacentral:rRNA from 1 species